rnacentral:rRNA from 1 species
GUGCCAGCCGCCGCGGUAAGACGAACCGUGCGAACGUUAUUCGGAAUCACUGGGCUUAAAGCGCGUGUAGGCGGGCCAUCACGUCGGUCGCUGAAAGCCCCCGGCUCAACCGGGGAAGGGGCGCCGAUACGAGUGGCCUGGAGGCAGGUAGGGGGAGCCGGAACUGCCGGUGGAGCGGUGAAAUGCGUUGAGAUCGGCAGGAACGCCCGUGGCGAAAGCGGGCUCCUGGACCUCGCCUGACGCUGAGACGCGAAAGCCAGGGGAGCGAACGGGAUUAGAUACCCUCGUAGUCC